AUUGAGCGCUGGCGGCAUGCUUUACACAUGCAAGUCGAACGGUAACAGGGUGCUUGCACCGCUGACGAGUGGCGAACGGGUGAGUAAUGCGUCGGAACGUGCCGAGUAGUGGGGGAUAACGCAGCGAAAGUUGUGCUAAUACCGCAUACGUACUGAGGUAGAAAGUGGGGGACCUUCGGGCCUCACGCUAUUCGAGCGGCCGACGUCUGAUUAGCUAGUAGGUGAGGUAAAGGCUCACCUAGGCGACGAUCAGUAGCGGGUCUGAGAGGAUGAUCCGCCACCCUGGGACUGAGACACGGCCCAGACUCCUACGGGAGGCAGCAGUGGGGAAUUUUGGACAAUGGGCGAAAGCCUGAUCCAGCCAUGCCGCGUGUCUGAAGAAGGCCUUCGGGUUGUAAAGGACUUUUGUCGGGGAGGAAAUCCCCAGCGUUAAUACCGCUGGGGGAUGACAGUACCUGAAGAAUAAGCACCGGCUAACUACGUGCCAGCCGCCGCGGUAACAC
rnacentral:rRNA from 1 species